GAUGAACGCUGGCGGCGUGCCUAAUACAUGCAAGUCGAGCGAACAGACGAGGAGCUUGCUCCUCUGACGUUAGCGGCGGACGGGUGAGUAACACGUGGAUAACCUACCUAUAAGACUGGGAUAACUUCGGGAAACCGGAGCUAAUACCGGAUAAUAUAUUGAACCGCAUGGUUCAAUAGUGAAAGACGGUUUUGCUGUCACUUAUAGAUGGAUCCGCGCCGCAUUAGCUAGUUGGUAAGGUAACGGCUUACCAAGGCAACGAUGCGUAGCCGACCUGAGAGGGUGAGCGGCCACACAGGAGCUGAGACACGGUCCAGACUCCUACGGGAGGCAGCAGUAGGGAAUCUUCCGCAAUGGGCGAAAGCCUGACGGAGCAACGCCGCGUGAGUGAUGAAGGUCUUCGGAUCGUAAAACUCUGUUAUUAGGGAAGAACAAAUGUGUAAGUAACUAUGCACGUCUUGACGGUACCGAAGCAGAAAGCCACGGCUAACUACGU
rnacentral:rRNA from 1 species